UACAGAGGUCUCAAGCGUUGUUCGGAUUCAUUGGGCGUAAAGGGUGCGUAGGCGGCGCGGUAAGUCGGGUGUGAAAUCUCGGGGCUUAACUCCGAAACUGCAUUCGAUACUGCCGUGCUUGAGGACUGGAGAGGAGACUGGAAUUUACGGUGUAGCGGUGAAAUGCGUAGAUAUCGUAAGGAAGACCAGUGGCGAAAGGCGGGUCUCUGGGCCUUACCUGACGCUGAGGAGCGAAAGCGUGGGAGCGAACAGG
rnacentral:rRNA from 1 species